AUGAACGCUGGCGGCGUGCCUAAUACAUGCAAGUCGAGCGAACGGACGAGAAGCUUGCUUCUCUGAUGUUAGCGGCGGACGGGUGAGUAACACGUGGAUAACCUACCUAUAAGACUGGGAUAACUUCGGGAAACCGGAGCUAAUACCGGAUAAUAUUUUGAACCGCAUGGUUCAAAAGUGAAAGACGGUCUUGCUGUCACUUAUAGAUGGAUCCGCGCUGCAUUAGCUAGUUGGUAAGGUAACGGCUUACCAAGGCAACGAUGCAUAGCCGACCUGUGAGGGUGAUAGGCCACCCGGGAGCUGAGACACGGUCCAGACGCCUGCGGGAGGCCGCAGUAGGGAAUCUGACGCAAUAGUCGGGAGUCUGACGGAGCAACGCGGAGUGAGUGAUGACGGUCUUCGGAUCGUAAAACUCUGUUACUAGUGAAGAACAUAUUUGUCAGUUACUGUGCACAGCUUGACGGUACCUAAUCAGAAAGCCACGGCUAACUACGUG
rnacentral:rRNA from 1 species